AGAACGAACGCUGGCGGCAUGCCUAAUACAUGCAAGUCGAACGAACUCUUCGGAGUUAGUGGCGCACGGGUGCGUAACGCGUGGGAAUCUGCCCCUUGGUUCGGAAUAACAGUUGGAAACGACUGCUAAUACCGGAUGAUGACGAAAGUCCAAAGAUUUAUCGCCAAGGGAUGAGCCCGCGUAGGAUUAGCUAGUUGGUGAGGUAAAGGCUCACCAAGGCAACGAUCCUUAGCUGGUCUGAGAGGAUGAUCAGCCACACUGGGACUGAGACACGGCCCAGACUCCUACGGGAGGCAGCAGUAGGGAAUAUUGGACAAUGGGCGAAAGCCUGAUCCAGCAAUGCCGCGUGAGUGAUGAAGGCCUUA
rnacentral:rRNA from 1 species